rnacentral:rRNA from 1 species
AGUGAACGCUGGCGGUAGGCCUAACACAUGCAAGUCGAACGGCAGCACAGUAAGAGCUUGCUCUUACGGGUUGCGAGUGGCGGGCGGGUGAGGAAUACAUCGGAAUCUACUUUUUCGUGGGGGAUAACGUAGGGAAACUUACGCUAAUACCGCAUACGACCUUCGGGUGAAAGCAGGGGAUCUUCGGACCUUGCGCGAUUGAAUGAGCCGAUGUCGGAUUAGCUAGUUGGCGGGGUAAAGGCCCACCAAGGCGACGAUCCGUAGCUGGUCUGAGAGGAUGAUCAGCCACACUGGAACUGAGACACGGUCCAGACUCCUACGGGAGGCAGCAGUGGGGAAUAUUGGACAAUGGGCGCAAGCCUGAUCCAGCCAUACCGCGUGGGUGAAGAAGGCCUUCGGGUUGUAAAGCCCUUUUGUUGGGAAAGAAAAGCAGCAGGUUAAUACCCCGCUGUUCUGACGGUACCCAAAGAAUAAGCACCGGCUAACUUCGUG